CCUACGGGAGGCAGCCGUGAGGAAUAUUGGUCAAUGGACGAGAGUCUGAACCAGCCAAGUAGCGUGAAGGAUGACUGCUCUAUGGGUUGUAAACUUCUUUUAUAUGGGACUAAAAUGUUCCACGUGUGGGAUUUUGUAUGUACCAUAUGAAUAAGGAUCGGCUAACUCCGUGCCAGCAGCCGCGGUAAUACGGAGGAUCCGAUCGUUAUCCGGAUUUUUUGGGUUUAAAGGGAGCGUAGGGGGAUUGUUAAGUCAGUUGUGAAAGUUUGCGGCGCAACCGUAAAAUUGCAGUUGAAACUGGCAGUCUUGAGUACAGUAGAGGUGGGCGGAAUUCGGGGUGUAGCGGUGAAAUGCUUAGAUAUCACGAAGAACUCCGAUUGCGAAGGCAGCUCACUGGACUGCAACUGACACUGAGGCUCGAAAGUGUGGGUAUCAAACAGGAUUAGAUACCCGGGUAGGC
rnacentral:rRNA from 1 species